rnacentral:rRNA from 1 species
UACGUAGGGGGCAAGCGUUGUCCGGAAUUACUGGGCGUAAAGGGCGCGUAGGCGGCCCGUCAAGUCCCGUGUGAAAGCCCCCGGCUCAACCGGGGAACGGCGCGGGAAACUAGCAGGCUUGAGUUCGGGAGAGGGAAGCGGAAUUCCGGGUGUAGCGGUGAAAUGCGCAGAUAUCCGGAGGAACACCGGUGGCGAAGGCGGCUUCCUGGACCGACACUGACGCUGAGGCGCGAAAGCUAGGGGAGCAAACGGG